UAGGCAACUCAACUGAGCCGGAACAAAGAGUCCUCUUCAGCUUGCGGGACUCUUGCCCACGGCCACAUCCACCCAGCUCUUCAAGGUCUGAUGACAGCCCCUGCCCAGAACUCAGGCCGGUCCAGCUCAACCUGAAGCCAGAGUGAACUGACAGCUCUGGUCCACUUCUGGGAUCAGCAUCUCACCGGAGAACACCCUCAUCCAUCAAAAGGGAGUCACCAGGGAGGCAUGGAGCCAGGGGCAGGACUAUCCUGUCAUUCCCAGUGGGCGGGCACACAGCACAGACCGCUCGAUCACCUGUGAACCUGCCUGGAAGGCAAAUGCCUUUGUAGGGAAGCACACACCCACUUGCCUGGCUCAGGCCCAGCUCCUUCUGGCCUAGGGCUGGGGAUAGCUAGUGAAGGCAGGGCCCCAUCAUGACAGCCUGGGUCGUGGCCAUGCUACACCAACACCGGGUCACGGCAGUGUCAGGCUUGAGAAGAGAACUCCAGAUAACGAAGACUGGCAUCCAUGCUACUCAGGGUCCCGCAGAGCCGGGUGGUGGAGUGCCCGCCCCGUAAGCCCUUUUGGCAUCAGGACAGGGUUGCAGGCAGAACCCAGUCCCAACCCCUCUACCGCGAAACUGAUCUUUGGGCCCUGGGCCCCGCGCCCCCACCGCUCCCUACGCAGAUCCAGGGAGGCGCGUCCCCGGCCACGUUGCGCGUCGCCGCAGCAGCCUUUGUUCUGGGCCGGCAGCCUCCCGCCCGCGUCUGCCGCUCAGGUCCCCGUUCCCAUCCCGGUCCUUGAACUACCUGGAGUAGAGGCGCCUGGAGGCCGGGCCCGGGAGCUCCUCGGCCACGGGCGGGGCCGGGCUCGCCAUGAGUCGGGGACGCGCCGAGCAGGAGCACCGCCCCGCUCUGCGGCCGUCCGCCUGCCGAUCUGCCCGCCUGUCCGCGCGUCCGUCCGCCUGUCCGCGCGUCCGCGGGAGACGCCGAGGAAGUGAUGUGCUGGGGUGCCGCCGCCCCUCCCGCCAGAGCUGUGAUGUCACCGCCGCCAGGCGGAGGGAGGGUGGGGAGGGGCAGGCGCCCACCGGCCACCACUGCGGCGGUCCCGCCUACCGUGGGGUGGGCGGGGCUCUGUCUUUGAGGUCCAGUGCAAGGAGAGUCCUGCUCUAGUGUGGACAA